rnacentral:misc_RNA from 1 species
UCUAAGGAAUAUAUGUCCUUACGGACAUUAAACGUUGACUGUUUCUUGUUUGUUUAGUUUUGAGGGAGCAAUUCUCUCAAAGCUUUUUUCUUUGCUCCUGCGCCGCAGUAGUUCGAGGAUGUGAAUCCUCAGCUCGUCGCAAGGCUGCAAGAAUUAACGCUCUGAUUUUGAAUCACGGUGUGAUAAAACUCAGUAGCCUUGUUCCUUGAAAACUAGAUAAUCGUAAAGAAGAAGAAACCAAGUAAGAACCGAGUAAUCGCCAUUUUAGUUUUCUCUCUAAUUAUUAGAGAAAUAAACCUUUUAGGUUAAGUUAGAAAGGGCGCACGGUGAAUGCCUUGGCACUAGGAGCCGAUGAAGGACGGGACUAACACCGAUAUGCUUCGGGGAGCUGUAAGUAAGCUUUGAUCCGGAGAUUU